CAACCGGAGGUCUCCUUCGGCAUAAUAAUAACGAUGAAAUUCCUCUUUGACGGGCCAAUAGAAAUAUUGGCCACUUUUUU
rfam:Leclercia adecarboxylata strain I1 Leclercia_S84_R1__paired__contig_3, whole genome shotgun sequence.